AGAGUUUGAUCCUGGCUCAGGACGAAUGCUGGCGGUGUGCUUCAUACAUGCAAGUCGAACGGGGUAGCAAUACCCAGUGGCGGACGGGUGAGUAACGCGUGGGAAUCUGCCUUAGAGUGGGGGAUAGCUAGCCGAAAGGCUAAUUAAUACCGCAUAAGUAUAUAUCGCGACAGUUUUAUAUAUAAAAGUAGUAAUACGUUCUAAGAUGAGCCCGCGUCCGAUUAGCUAGUUGGUAGGGUAAAGGCCUACCAAGGCUUCGAUCGGUAGGUGGUCCGAGAGGAUGAUCACCCACAAUGGAACUGAGACACGGUCCAUACUCCUACGGGAGGCAGCAGUAGGGAAUUUUACGCAAUGGGCGAAAGCCUGACGUAGCGACACCGCGUGAGCGAAGAAGCCUUUUGGGGUGUAAAGCUCUGUCGGCUGGGAAGAAAAAAAUGACGGUACCAGCAAAGGAAGCAUCGGCUAACUACGUGCCAGCAGCCGCGGUAAGACGUAGGAUGCAAGCAUUGUCCGGAUUUAUUGGGCGUAAAGAGUUCGUAGGCGGUUUGUUAAGUCUAGUGUUAAAUAUCGGGGCUCAACCCCGGGACUGCAUUGGAUACUGGCAGACUGGAGUGUGGUAGAGGUAAGUGGAAUUUCUGGUGUAGCGGUGAAAUGCGUAGAUAUCAGAAAGAACACCAGUGGCGUAGGCGACUUACUGGGCCAUAACUGACGCUGAGGAACGAAAGCCAGGGGAGCAAAUGGGAUUAGAUACCCUGGUAGUCCAA
rnacentral:rRNA from 1 species